rnacentral:rRNA from 1 species
UACGAAGGGGGCUAGCGUUGCUCGGAAUUACUGGGCGUAAAGGGCGCGUAGGCGGAUAGUUUAGUCAGAGGUGAAAGCCCAGGGCUCAACCUUGGAACUGCCUUUGAUACUGGCUAUCUUGAGUACGGGAGAGGUGAGUGGAACUCCGAGUGUAGAGGUGAAAUUCGUAGAUAUUCGGAGGAACACCAGUGGCGAAGGCGGCUCACUGGCUCGGUACUGACGCUGAGGUGCGAAAGCGUGGGGAGCAAACAGG